CUGGGUCUAUACCGAAUAUUCCUUGCUGGUCGCAUGGCCUGGUGGGGGACAGC
rnacentral:rRNA from 1 species